rnacentral:lncRNA from 8 species
AUGGACCUGAGAGGAAGUUCUGGACCUUGGCACCAGGCUGGGGAGUACCGUCGCCCACGGGAGGAAAUUGAGGCAGCCAAGGCAAAGAGGCGGAGGUACGAGGCCUUGGACGCGCUGAGGGAGAAGCACGAGAGGCACCCCCAAGAUUUCUUUUGGGGGGGGCACACGGGUAGUUUGACUAGGCCUAGGAAGAGCCGGAAGCCAGCUACCCGUGGUUAUAUGGAGGAGCGUAUGAGGUGGAGAGCGCCAUGUUUCGCUGAGGAGCGCACUAUCUCACCCAUACGCACGCACAGUCCGGUGCACGUUAUUCCAGCCCCUCGCAGGUGCCGUGCUAGAGCGGGCAUCCAGCCUGGUAGGAGGAUGCCUGCGCAGCGCAUCUGGUCGCCGGUACGCCUCCGAGGACCAGGCUACCCAACUCCCGCUCUACGCACGGCUACCAUCAGGCCCCUGCACAGCCCAGUCCGCCCUGUACAAGCACCCCGCUCGUACAGGGCUACUAGUUCCAUCCAGCCAGGACGGGUUGUGCAGGAGGUAAGAUCAAGACCGCCUGUGCGCCUCCAUAGCCCUGGGUUUCCAGCUCCUGUCUCUCGUGCGGACCCGGAAGUGCGUCAGCCCAGUCCAACUCGUCCUGUUCCCGCUCCCCGCACUAGCCUGGAGGUGCGUGUUCCCAGUCUGGUACGUCCAGUACCAGCACCACGCACCAGGCUUCAAGUGCGUCAUCUCAGUCAAGAGUCGCCAGAACUGCCCGUCAGUCAAGAGUCGCCAGAACUGCCCGUCAGUCAAGAGUCGCCAGAACUGCCCGUCAGUCAAGAGUCGCCAGAACUGCCCGUCAGUCAAGAGUCGCCAGAACUGCCCGUCAGUCAAGAGUCGCCAGAACUGCCGGUCAGUCAAGAGUCGCCCGAACUGCCCGUCAGUCAAGAGUCGCCGGAGCCGCCCGUCAGUGAGGAAUCGCCAGAGCCGCCCGUCAGUGAAGAGUCGCCAGAGCCACCCACUAGUCAGGAGCUGCCAGAGUGGCCAGACUGCCCGGAGAUGCCAGAGUGGCCAGACUGCCCGGAGAUGCCAGAGUGGCCAGACUGCCCGGCGAUGCCAGACUGCCCGGCGAUGCCAGACUGCCCGGCGAUGCCAGAGUGGCCCGACUGUCUUCCGGGUCUGCCAGAGUGGCCCGACUGUCUUCCGGGUCUGCCAGAGUGGCCCGACUGUCUUCCGGGUCUGCCAGAGUGGCCCGACUGUCUUCCGGGCCAGCCCGAGUGGCCCGACUGUCUUCCGGGCCAGCCCGAGUGGCCCGUCUACCCGGAGCUGCCUGAACCAGAGCCACCUCCAGAUAUAGGUGGGUUGGGGAGGGGGGGUGUAGCACAGUGCCGUCGUUGA